UUUUGAUUCGUGGACGCAAAAAUACAAAAAGGAAUUGUUUUUUUUCUUUCUUCUCUCUUCUUGCUCGAUCCUCUCUCUUCUAUGUCGAUCCAGACGGCGAAUCGAAGGCGAUUCAGAAAAAUCAAUCCAUAGUUCCAGACCCAAUUCAUCUUUGAGCUUUGUCAUCCAUUCCUUCAAAUUCUUCAUCGGAAUAUCCACUCCGAUCUAAAAACCGCCUUUCGUCUUCUUCUUCGCGUUGCCCUCUCUCGUCGUCGGCGGCAGAUUAAAAUCGCCCUUCAAUUCUACAGUUGCAAGAACAUGCUCUUUCAAAACCAAAUUCGAGCCUUCUCACAACUAAAUUUUGUUCCUUUAUUGAUUCUCUGAAAUCAGUCUCUGUUAUUUUUGUACUUUUUGCUUUCCAAUGAUGGGAAGAGUAGACAAUUUGCUUUUAUUUGAUAUCGUAGUGCUGAAGAAGCUCAAGAAGCUAUCAAGUAUUUCAACAAGUCUUUUCUUGAUACUUCUCGUAUAUAUGUGAUGAUGUUUAAAGGUGGUCGCCUUUUCGUGAUGAUGACAAUGAUGAUGUUCUUGACACUGAUCGCCUUUUCGUCCGUAACCUGCCUUACAUUGCAACAGAAGAAGAGCUUAUGGAACAUUUAAGCAAAUUUGGUGAGAUAUCAGAAGUCCAUCUUGUUCUUGACAAGGAGACGAAAAGGUCCAAAGGAAUUGCCUACAUCCUUUACCCGAUUCCGGAAUGUGCGGCAAGGGCAAUGGAGGAAUUAGAUAACUCAAUUUUCCAGGGCCGGUUGUUGCAUAUUUUUCCAGCCAAGCACCGUGAAACGUCUGAUAAACAAGUGAAUGACACUUCUAACCUGCCAAAAACAUUCAAGCAAAAGAGAGAGGAACAAAAAAAAGGCAUCGGAAGCUGGUGGAAAUACAAAGGCUUGGAAUAGUUUAUUCAUGCGACCCGAUACUAUUCUAGAAAACAUAGUCAGGGUGUAUGGUGUAAGCAAAACUGAGUUACUUGACCGUGAAGCUGAAGUUCCUUUUCUGUUUUUAUUG